UUUCUGUGUAAUGUUUGUCUUUCUAUUUUUUUUAAAGCCUGAAGAAGAUUCAAGCUCAUGGCCAGAGGGACAGAUGAGACCCACAGACAUAUUUGUUUAGCCUUCACGAUGUUUACAAGGAUACAUGACACUGAUACAACAUGCCUCCUUUUGACUGCAACAGUUUCCAGACUCCUUGUUCUGGAUGACCUUGAUGCGCCACCUGGAGGUGCAAGGUGAACCCUGCAGAGAGGCUGGAAAUGGGCUGAUGGACCCCAAAGACAGAGCAGGCGGUCCUUCUGUGAGCACCUGGAGGAGAUGCGUUUACAGGCACC